rnacentral:rRNA from 1 species
UGCAGUCGAGCGGUAGAGAGAAGCUUGCUUCUCUUGAGAGCGGCGGACGGGUGAGUAAUGCCUAGGAAUCUGCCUGGUAGUGGGGGAUAACGUCCGGAAACGGACGCUAAUACCGCAUACGUCCUACGGGAGAAAGCAGGGGACCUUCGGGCCUUGCGCUAUCAGAUGAGCCUAGGUCGGAUUAGCUAGUUGGUGGGGUAAUGGCUCACCAAGGCGACGAUCCGUAACUGGUCUGAGAGGAUGAUCAGUCACACUGGAACUGAGACACGGUCCAGACUCCUACGGGAGGCAGCAGUGGGGAAUAUUGGACAAUGGGCGAAAGCCUGAUCCAGCCAUGCCGCGUGUGUGAAGAAGGUCUUCGGAUUGUAAAGCACUUUAAGUUGGGAGGAAGGGCAGUAAAUUAAUACUUUGCUGUUUUGACGUUACCGACAGAAUAAGCACCGGCUAACUCUGUGCCAGCAGCCGCGGUAAUACAGAGGGUGCAAGCGUUAAUCGGAAUUACUGGGCGUAAAGCGCGCGUAGGUGGUUCGUUAAGUUGGAUGUGAAAUCCCCGGGCUCAACCUGGGAACUGCAUUCAAAACUGACGAGCUAGAGUAUGGUAGAGGGUGGUGGAAUUUCCUGUGUAGCGGUGAAAUGCGUAGAUAUAGGAAGGAACACCAGUGGCGAAGGCGACCACCUGGACUGAUACUGACACUGAGGUGCGAAAGCGUGGGGAGCAAACAGGAUUAGAUACCCUG